AACAAAUCAAAGAAAGAAAAACAGACAGGAACAAAAGUAUUUCCCGACGGUAAAACAAGGAGGUACUGUAAUAGGAGAGACAUACUGUAGUUUUUCAGGUGCCUGCUUUAUUUGAAGAGCCUAUACACAGCUUAGAGAUACCCUUGUGAUAGGAGAUGUACAUUCUGCAUGCAAGAGCUCCACAUGUCCUGUUACCCCAUGUACUGUAUUUACCCAGAGGGAGUUGUGCUGAGGGAAAGGGUCGUGCAAGACUGAGCAAAGGCCUUGAAAGAUACAGUAACUAUCAUCUUUGGAACACCCGGGGGCAGGGGUGCCUUUACAGGAUCUUUGAAUGGGAAAGUCUCAGGAAAAACAGACGAGAAGCCAUAAAGUAAGACUCUGACAUGAAAAAUGUCCCUGUCGUCGCUGGGAACCACUGGAUAGUCACUAAGGGCUGUUGGAA